ACUUUCUUCUUAGAAGAGCUGUGUGCAGGCAUUAAAAACUAGGCUGACUGGAGAGGCCUCAGGACAGCCCUCUUUCUUCAGAAAUGAGAAGCCACGGUUUCCCAGUCAUUUAAUCAGUUGUAUCAGGGACUCUUCUGAGUAAGUUCUCUCCCUGUGAAGAUGGGAAGAGGAAGGACCUUCCUCAACCUGGACAGCAGGAGGUAAAACAAUGACAGUUGUUUCCUGAUACUUCUUGUGGACGUCAGCUUCUAAGUGGGCAUUGUGAAGUGACGAUGGCUGCCAUCACACAAGACUGAGGCGUCUCACCAUGUGUGGAAGGUAGGUAUUUUAAGAUCCUUCUCAGGUCUAAUAUGUUAAAUGUUAGCCAAGGCUCCGAGGAAGCAGUAUCUAGAGAAGAGCCUACACUGUAAAGUAUCCACCCCUUUCCCUUCUGUAAGCCCUGAACCCGGUUACAGACCUUUGAUUCUACACACAGCCCACCUAUGGAAGAGGCCCACCCUUCUCUUUGGUUAUAGGCUAUGGUUAUACUGCAUACAUUUUCCUCACAUGGGGCCCACUGUAGCCCGGCCCAGAUGUGGCUAAAAACAAAGCUGUAUAGAACAGUAUAAUCCAUGCCAGCCUAACAAGUAGCAAGUGGGUCUGUGUUCUUCUGUGAACACAGUGCUGUAUCGGUCCAUUAGUUACAGACCAGAGGGCGCUGGGCUCAGGCAGAGUGGCUCACCUCCCAGCAUCGCAGGCUAGUUAAAUCAUCUCGGAAUUACCCAACACUCCCAGCUUCCUUAUUAAGGCCUCUCCAUCACUCCCCAGUUCUGAUGUUCCCUCUUCCCUGGGAACUCCCAGUCACAGCAGAUAUGCCUAGGGCAGUUCAGGUCACAGCAGAUAUUAAGUAAGAGUAAAGGGAGAAGGGGCGGGGCAUUUAAAGCAAUGGUUCUCAAACUUCAGGAUGCAUCAAUCUUUUUAUACAGCUCUUUAUGUUGUGGUGACCCCAAACAAAAAAAUUAUUUUCAUCACCACUUCACAGCUGUGAUUCUGCUACUGUUAUGAAUCGUAAUGUAAACAUCUGUUGAUUUUUUUUUCUUUUCUGACUGUCUUAGGCAACCUUUGUGAAAGACACAGUCAACCCCCAGAGGGUCGAGACCCACAGGUUGAGAACCUCUGAUUUAGCUGGUGAGCAUGCAUGUGAUGGUUUCAAGGUGUCUCCUCACAAUAGUUUCAUCAGAUUAUCUUAAAUAUGUGCUUUGUUAUAGAUCAGCUAAGCCUCACAUCUGUUUGGCCACAUAGAGAAGCAGGUGUAGAUAUAUCUGUCUUUUUUUACUGACUAGUAGGCUACUUGGGGUUGGAAAUUCCAGCCUACACAUAUUUACCCAAGUAGCUCAUUUGUGCUCAGGACUAUUUCUCUGCACUCAUACUUAUAUAAACAGGGGGUGGGAAUGCUCUAUGACAUCCAUAGGAUAGAACCUCCCCGUCUUCUUCUAAGACUUAUAAUACAGGGGGGCUAUCACAGGGGUCAGGAAAGGUGGUAAGAGACUGCUUCAUUCUCAAAGUUUGGUUCAGGAGUGGAGAGCCUCCAGCUUAUUAUUAAUGCCCAGAGGGCAAGUAGUCACCUCUCAGGGCCAGAGGAGAGACUCUGUCCUCACCCCUGUUACAAAAAUAGUUAUGGAGUGGCCACCGUACUUCCUGGCAAACAUGUCCCAGCUCUGGAGAGGCGUCACUGACCUCUACCAGCCCUGUGAGGAGGCCGAGGUGCAGCUCAGACAGGAACUGUUUCCCAUGCCCUUGUUUAGAUGUGGCUGUGCACACAGCCCUCCCUCCAAACCAUCACCCCUCUGACCUCUGUCCAAAAGCACCAAAUAAGUCACAGGCUGAGGCACUUAGCUCCGAGUGGCUCUUCUGAAUCCAUCUGGACGCAGCUCAAAAGCACUGUUUUUCACCCUGGCUCCACAGCCAGCGCAGUUUUUGUGGCAGCUGGGUCAAGUCUAAGCAGCACCUCCUCACUGACCAAUGCCACCACCCUCCCCCACCUCUGCUUUGUUUUUAACAUUCUCUGACUUUCUCUGACUACCUCUACCCAAUACACAAACAUACAUUCAUAUACCUGCACAAAUACACUUCUUUAUCUUUUAAAUAUGAUUUACUAUACGGGUAGGAGUGUUUUGCCAGCAUAUGUAUGUAUGUGUGGUGCCCACAGAGAUCAGAAGAGGGUGUUGGAUCCCCUGGGAAUGAAGUCACAAACAACUGUGAGUCCUCUCAUGGUUGCUGGGAAUGAAUCCUGAGUCCUCUGAAAGAACAGCGUGUGUUCUUCAUCCUUGCACCCUCUCUCCAGCCCCCUUCUCUCUCUAAGGUGUAGUACACAUCACGGAAGAUGGGUUCUAAACUGAGUUCAUGGAUUUAAUGCAGUGAUAGUAAGAGCUUAAAUCUGGCGGAAAUACAGCAUUCCUUUCCAUUAUGAGCACAGAAGACUAACUAUCCAGAGUUAGUGGAACCAGUUUUUUGUUUGUUUGUUUGUUUGGCUGGUUUUUUGUUUGUUUGUUUGUUUGUUUUUUGAUACGAGCAGCAAUGUAAGCACUUCCCUGUCACAUCAGGGUGCUGUCCUGAAAUGCCAUCCAUGUUUAUCACUGUUUCCAAGUGACGGUGGCAAUGAGACGUCAAGCGGAUCUUGUAUUUGUCACGUUAAAAAAAGAAGUUCAUACUUUUUAAAGUUAAUUCUAUAUUUUAUUUGCUUUAUAAACCUAUGUAUACUCUUUUUUAUACUUAAAUAAAAUAUUACUAUG
rnacentral:lncRNA from 1 species